AAGCCAGACUCCUACGGGAGGCAGCAGUGGGGAAUAUUGCACAAUGGGGGGAACCCUGAUGCAGCGACGCCGCGUGGGUGAAGGAGUACUUCGGUACGUAAAGCCCUAUCAGCAGGAAAGAAAAUGACGGUACCUGACUAAGAAGCCCCGGCUAACUACGUGCCAGCAGCCGCGGUAAUACGUAGGGGGCAAGCGUUAUCCGGAUUUACUGGGUGUAAAGGGAGCGUAGACGGCAGUGCAAGUCCGGAGUGAAAGCCCGGGGCUCAACCCUGGGACUGCUCUGGAAACUGUAAAGCUGGAGUGCGGGAGGGGCAGGCGGAAUUCCUGGUGUAGCGGUGAAAUGCGUAGAUAUCAGGAGGAACACCGGCGGCGAAGGCGGCCUGCUGGACCGUAACUGACGUUGAGGCUCGAAAGCGUGGGGAGCAAACAGGAUUAGAUACCCCUGUAUC
rnacentral:rRNA from 1 species